GGAUCUCUUAAAGCUGUUCUCAGUUCGGACUGCAGUCUGCAACUCGACUGCACGAAGCUGGGAUCGCUAGUAAUCGCGGAUCAGCACGCCGCGGUGAAUACGUUCCCGGGCCUUGUACACACCGCCCGUCACACCAUGGAAGUCUGCAAUGCCCGAAGCCGGUGGCCUAACCACUUAUGUGGAAGGAGCCGUCUAAGGCAGGGCAGAUGACUGGGGUGAAGUCGUAACAAGGUAAC
rnacentral:rRNA from 1 species